rnacentral:lncRNA from 1 species
UUUAAUUUGUUUCCUUUUUUUCGUUUAUUUUGUUUUCUUAUUUUUAUGUUUUUAUUUCAGAAGCUUUUCUUAAUUAUAUAAUUCGAAAAUUAUAUAAAUCAAAUUUGAAUUUUAUUUCUGGAAUUCUUUUGAUUAUUUGUUUCUUGAUAAAAUAAUCUUAUAUUUGUUUCCAGUUUUUUCUUUCCAAAAUUAAUAUUAUUUAUUUUUAUUCGAAAAUUAUGUUUUAUUUAUUUGUUUACUCUAAUUUUAUGAAGAUCCUAAAAGUAAUCCUAUU